rnacentral:lncRNA from 1 species
UCAAUUGAAGCUACUGCGAAUUUCGAUUUCCAACCUUUUCUUGAUGACGGCAAUGGAUUCGGCGGAUUUCGGAGCUCGCGGAUGCGAAACAGGUGCAGCAAACGACUUCAGGAGAUGAAUGAUGAUACUCUUGCAGCUCGAAAAUCUCCAACUCGCACCGAUUCUUGGACUGUUAUGGAAGUUGCAGAUUGAUUCUACCGAUGCAAAUUGCGAAUGAUUCUUGAAUUUUCCUGCAAACAGAAACUUCACAAUAGCUAACAAUGAUGAAUAUGCAGAGAAUUAUCCCAAAGAUCCAUCCAAAUUGGUCAAUUGAUGCAAAAUGUUAUUGAAGUUUUUUUUUGAGCAAAAUUGAGAGAGAAGAGAGAAUUUCAGUUUUUU